CAGUCGCCGCGGUAAUACAGAGGGUGCGAGCGUUAAUCGGAAUUACUGGGCGUAAAGCGCGCGUAGGUGGUUCGCCAAGUUGGAUGUGAAAUCCCCGGGCUCAACCUGGGAACUGCAUCCAAAACUGGCGAGCUAGAGUAUGGUAGAGGGUGGUGGAAUUUCCUGUGUAGCGGUGAAAUGCGUAGAUAUAGGAAGGAACAUCAGUGGCGAAGGCGACCACCUGGACUGAUACUGACACUGAGGUGCGAAAGCGUGGGGAGCAAACAGGAUUAGAUACCCCCGUAGUCCCUGUCUCUUAUAU
rnacentral:rRNA from 1 species